GGGGGCCACCUGCAGACACACCCUGGCUUCGGGACCGUCUUCCUUCUCUUCCCCCUCGGGGCCUAGAGGAGGCCACGCGCGGGGUCUCCGAGCUCUAGGGUCCGGAGCUCUAGGGUCCUUUUAUGUAGCAAAGUCAGGCCUGGGAACAGAACUUCAUGUGCUUGUAAAAAGUCUCAGGUGCGUCCUCGUUGUUUUAGAGACUUGGAGAGGAAUGGGGGCGGGGGGAACAAAAUCCGAGGACAGUCGAGCCAAGAAAAGUCGGGGCUUCUAGGAUGCCAACCACGCCAAACAGAUCAAAACCAGGACUGGAGGACUGAAGAUGAAGCCGGCAAAAAGUCACCAGCCACGGCUCUUGUAAGGUAUGCUUCACCUCUCCUGCUAAGUCUUCAUCCCUGUCUAUGAGGACAAAGAAGUUACGGGUUAAAUUGGCGAUGGGCCAGGCGCUCCUUGAGGAUGCUCUAAAGUUGGUGAUAGAAAAUGGGAGAACUGAAGACAACCACUUUAUAAAACCCUUGCCUGCUUGAAUUUGUGGUGAUGAACCGGCCCCUGGGAUUUGCUGCUCAGAACCUGAGUUCACUGAGACAUCAGGAGCAAGCACUGGAGGCCGGGUGCUGCUGGAUCCUGAUGGGAGCCAUGCAGGACUUGACCAUGGCCUGCACACACUUCUUCCCAGGAGAAGGGGAAUGAGGAAGGACUGGCCCCUGGGAUUUGCUGCUCAGUUCACUGAGACAUCAGGAGCAAGCACUGGAGGCCGGUGCUGCUGGACCCAGAUGGGAGCCAUGCAGGACUUGACCAUGGCCUGCAUACACUUCUUCCCAGGAGAAGGGGAAUGAGGAAGGUGGGGGCCUCAAAGCCUCCUUUCCUUUCUGUUUGGCUUCCUAUGUCUUUAUUCUAUUUUUUGUAUCUGUUUAAUUAUUUACUUAGUACAAAAUUCAGGUCCAGCCUCCUUAGGUUUGGCAUUGAUAAAAAAUGCAAAAUGGAAGGUAAA
rnacentral:lncRNA from 1 species